CCCUCCCUCAGUGCCAGGCUGCGAUGUGAGCAACCUGAGCUAUGGGAGGUGUCCUGCCUACAGCAGGGGGUUGGAACUACGUGACCUUAAAGGUCCCUUCAAAACCAAACCACUCUUAUGAUAUGAUUGAACUUAACUGCAUCCCAGCCUGAGCCAGUGCAGGUGUUGGCAGCUGCUGUACAGAGUGAGGGAAUCAAAUGUUGUUUCUGCAUUUAGAAUAAGAUAAGAAUAUUUUAUUUCAAGGUCUCAUUAUAUAAGUGAAGCAGUUUGUAGUUAUUAGGUAGAAGUUAUUAGGUACAAAGACUGCAGCUCCUGUCUGUCCAGCUGUCUGAAAUAGAGCUAACAAUAUGCCUGUAUAAACUAGCAGCAAUGUAUGUUUUAGUGUUUUGUUGUACGCAUUGUAAAAUUAUACAAGUCGUGACAUACCUAAGGAUGUGCCUGAAGAGAUAUCGGGAAGGACUGGAAUCACACCCCCCCGGGCUCUUUGUUUAACAAAGGCCUCUAGGACAGAAUGGCAGAAGCUUUGAAGGAAAUCAACAUAUCAAUAAGAGUACCAAGACAUCUUGGAAACAGAAACAGCAGGAUGGCGACUGACUAUCACAAGAUAACGCGGGAAUCAACAAAUGUCGGAAUGUAAUGCAAAUCUCGAGUAAAACUGUAACCUGGAAUACCCAAUCAAAGGGGAAACAGGAGGGGAAAACAUAUGGGAGAAAAGGAACAGAAAAGGAAAG